UGGGGAAUAUUGCACAAUGGGCGCAAGCCUGAUGCAGCCAUGCCGCGUGUGUGAAGAAGGCCUUCGGGUUGUAAAGCACUUUCAGCGAGGAGGAAGGGUAGUGUGUUAAUAGCACAUUGCAUUGACGUUACUCGCAGAAGAAGCACCGGCUAACUCCGUGCCAGCAGCCGCGGUAAUACGGAGGGUGCAAGCGUUAAUCGGAAUUACUGGGCGUAAAGCGCACGCAGGCGGUUUGUUAAGUCAGAUGUGAAAUCCCCGCGCUUAACGUGGGAACUGCAUUUGAAACUGGCAAGCUAGAGUCUUGUAGAGGGGGGUAGAAUUCCAGGUGUAGCGGUGAAAUGCGUAGAGAUCUGGAGGAAUACCGGUGGCGAAGGCGCCCCCUGGACAAAGACUACGC
rnacentral:rRNA from 1 species